GGCAAAUUGGGGGCGUGCUAAUACAUGCAAGUCGAACGCUUCUUUUCCCACCGGAGCUUGCUCCACCGGGAAAAGAGGAGUGGCGAACGGGUGAGUAACACGUGGGUAACCUGCCCAUCAGAAGGGGAUAACACUUGGAAACAGGUGCUAAUACCGUAUAACAAUCGAAACCGCAUGGUUUCGUUUUGAAAGGCGCUUUACGGUGCCGCUGAUGGAUGGACCCGCGGUGCAUUAGCUAGUUGGUGAGGUAACGGCUCACCAAGGCCACGAUGCAUAGCCGACCUGAGAGGGUGAUCGGCCACAUUGGGACUGAGACACGGCCCAAACUCCUACGGGAGGCAGCAGUAGGGAAUCUUCGGCAAUGGACGAAAGUCUGACCGAGCAACGCCGCGUGAGUGAAGAAGGUUUUCGGAUCGUAAAACUCUGUUGUUAGAGAAGAACAAGGGUGAGAGUAACUGUUCACCCCUUGACGGUAUCUAACCAGAAAGCCACGGCUAACUACGUGCCAGCAGCCGCGGUAAUACGUAGGUGGCAAGCGUUGUCCGGAUUUAUUGGGCGUAAAGCGAGCGCAGGCGGUUUCUUAAGUCUGAUGUGAAAGCCCCCGGCUCAACCGGGGAGGGUCAUUGGAAACUGGGAGACUUGAGUGCAGAAGAGGAGAGUGGAAUUCCAUGUGUAGCGGUGAAAUGCGUAGAUAUAUGGAGGAACACCAGUGGCGAAGGCGGCUCUCUGGUCUGUAACUGACGCUGAGGCUCGAAAGCGUGGGGAGCAAACAGGGAUUAGAUACCCUGGUAGUCCACGCCGUAAACGAUGAGUGCUAAGUGUUGGAGGGUUUCCGCCCUUCAGUGCUGCAGCUAACGCAUUAAGCACUCCGCCUGGGGAGUACGACCGCAAGGUUGAACUCAAAGGAUUUGACGGGGCCC
rnacentral:rRNA from 1 species